rfam:Populus trichocarpa scaffold_13_contig_251, whole genome shotgun sequence.
UAAUCUGUCCAGAUCCAGAUCCUCAUCUAAUUAUUGCAGAACCACACCUGACUGCUCGAAAUCACCUAUUAUCGUAAUCCUAACUAUAUCAUUAUAUCCACAAAAACAUGUGCAUAUUGGUAGAGCAGUCU